rnacentral:rRNA from 1 species
UAGGGAAUCUUCCGCAAUGGACGCAAGUCUGACGGAGCAACGCCGCGUGAGUGAAGAAGGAUUUCGGUUCGUAAAACUCUGUUGUUAGAGAAGAACAGCGCAUAGAGUAACUGUUAUGCGUGUGACGGUAUCUAACCAGAAAGCCACGGCUAACUACGUGCCAGCAGCCGCGGUAAUACGUAGGUGGCAAGCGUUGUCCGGAUUUAUUGGGCGUAAAGCGAGCGCAGGCGGUCAAUUAAGUCUGAUGUGAAAGCCCCCGGCUCAACCGGGGAGGGUCAUUAGAAACUGGUUGACUUGAGUGCAGAAGAGGAGAGUGGAAUUCCAUGUGUAGCGGUGAAAUGCGUAGAUAUAUGGAGGAACACCAGUGGAGAAGGCGACUCUAUGGUCUGUAACUGACGAUGGGGCUCGAAAGCGUGGGUAGCAAACAGG